AUACAGCUAACGAGUUCCAAAUAGGACGAAACGUGCGUCUUGGAU
rfam:Schistosoma curassoni strain Dakar, Senegal genome assembly, scaffold: SCTD_contig0004843